GUGUGAGAUGUUGGGGAAAGGGGCAUCAACAAAUAGAAAACUUUUAGAAGUAACAUCUCAAGUUUUCCCUUCCUAUGAACCAACAAGUUCCACUCCAGAACUCAUAUCCAUUUUCAUAAGUAUUAACCACCUACAAAACUCACAGGCAGGCAAGUUUAAACUUUAAAGUAAUGCAACAGUUAAUCAUAAAUUCAUAACACAUAUGAGCAACAUAAUAAGAAUGAUAUGAGGGCAAAUAUAUGUUAACUGAUAAAGUACCAAGAAAACAUACUUCAAUACUGCACGA
rnacentral:misc_RNA from 1 species